rnacentral:rRNA from 2 species
CGAAUGCUGACAUAAGUAACGAUAAAGCGGGUGAAAAGCCCGCUCGCCGGAAGACCAAGGGUUCCUGUCCAACGUUAAUCGGGGCAGGGUGAGUCGACCCCUAAGGCGAGGCCGAAAGGCGUAGUCGAUGGGAAACAGGUUAAUAUUCCUGUACUUGGUGUUACUGCGAAGGGGGGACGGAGAAGGCUAUGUUGGCCGGGCGACGGUUGUCCCGGUUUAAGCGUGUAGGCUGGUUUUCCAGGCAAAUCCGGAAAAUCAAGGCUGAGGCGUGAUGACGAGGCACUACGGUGCUGAAGCAACAAAUGCCCUGCUUCCAGGAAAAGCCUCUAAGCAUCAGGUAACAUCAAAUCGUACCCCAAACCGACACAGGUGGUCAGGUAGAGAAUACCAAGGCGCUUGAGAGAACUCGGGUGAAGGAACUAGGCAAAAUGGUGCCGUAACUUCGGGAGAAGGCACG